GACAUUAUAGCAAAGUGGUUAAUGCGGGGUACUGUUAAUACCUUUUCUCGCAGGUUCGAAUCCUGCUGGUGUCU
rnacentral:tRNA from 2 species